GACAGAGGUUCCAAGCGUUGUUCGGAUUCACUGGGCGUAAAGGGUGCGUAGGAUGUUGAGAAAGUCAGAUGUGAAAGCUCACUGCUUAACGGUGAAAUUGCAUUUGAAACUUCUUGACUAGAGGAUCAGAGAGGAAAGCGGAAUUCUUGGUGUAGCGGUGAAAUGCGUAGAUAUCAAGAGGAACGCCAAUGGCGAAAGCAGCUUUCUGGAGGAUUCCUGACUCUGAGGCACGAAGGCUAGGGUAGCAAAC
rnacentral:rRNA from 1 species